rnacentral:rRNA from 1 species
GAGUUUGAUCCUGGCUCAGGACAAACGCUGGCGGCGCGCCUAACACAUGCAAGUCGAGGGAGAAGCUUACUUUCGGGUGAGUGGAGACCGGCGAACGGGUGAGUAGCACGUGAGGAACCUGCCUUGAAGUUUGGAAUAACCAGUGGAAACGCUGGCUAAUGCUGGAUAUGACCUGGCCCUGCAUGGGGUUGGGUGGAAAGCUUUUUGCGCUUUGAGAUGGUCUCGCGGCCUAUCAGAUUGUUGGUGGGGUAAUGGCCUACCAAGUCGUCGACGGGUAGCUGGAGUGAGAGCUUGUACAGCCACAUUGGGACUGAGACACGGCCCAGACUCCUACGGGAGGCAGCAGUGGGGAAUCUUGCGCAAUGGACGGAAGUCUGACGCAGCGACGCCGCGUGUGGGAGGAAGGCCUUCGGGUUGUAAACCACUUUCGGGAGGGAAGAAGCGUUUUGUGACGGUACCUUCAGAAGAAGCCCCGGCCAACUACGUGCCAGCAGCCGCGGUAAUACGUAGGGGGCGAGCGUUGUCCGGAAUUAUUGGGCGUAAAGGGCUCGUAGGUGGUUCGUUAAGUUAGAUGUGAAAUUGUGCGGCUUAACCGCGCAUUGGCAUCUGAUACUGGCGGGCUUGAGGCAGGUAGAGGAGAAUGGAAUUCCUGGUGUAGCGGUGGAAUGCGCAGAUAUCAGGAGGAACACCGAUUGCGAAGGCAGUUCUCUGGGCCUGUUCUGACGCUGAGGAGCGAAAGCGUGGGGAGCGAACAGGAUUAGAUACCCUGGUAGUCCACGCUGUAAACGAUGGAUGCUAGGUGUGGGGUCCGCUUGUGGGUUCCGUGCCGUAGCUAACGCAUUAAGCAUCCCGCCUGGGGACUACGGCCGCAAGGCUAAAACUCAAAGGAAUUGACGGGGGCCCGCACAAGCGGCGGAGCAUGUGGCUUAAUUCGAAGCAACGCGAAGAACCUUACCAAGGCUUGACAUGGUGGAUUAUCUCUAGAGAUAGGGUGUCCUUUUUGGUUUCAUCACAGGUGGUGCAUGGUUGUCGUCAGCUCGUGCCGUGAGGUGUUGGGUUAAGUCCCGCAACGAGCGCAACCCUUGUUCUAUGUUGCCAGCAUUUGGUUGGGGACUCAUGGGAGACUGCCGGGGUUAACUCGGAGGAAGGUGGGGACGACGUCAAAUCAUCAUGCCCCUUAUGUCUUGGGCUGCACACGUGCUACAAUGGCUGGUACAGCGGGUUGCGAUCUCGUGAGGGUGAGCGAAUCUCGUAAAGCCAGUCUCAGUUCGGAUUGGAGUCUGCAACUCGACUCCAUGAAGGCGGAGUCGCUAGUAAUCGCGAAUCAGCAAUGUCGCGGUGAAUACGUUCCCGGGCCUUGUACACACCGCCCGUCACGUCAUGAAAGUCGGUAACACCCGAAGCCCAUGGCCUAACCAGUUUUGCUGGGGGGAGUGGUCGAAGGUGGGAUCGGUGAUUAGGGCGAAGUCGUAACAAGGU